CUGAAAUCUUGUUUGAAACCACUGGCCUCGCAGGCUGCAGGGAGCCUUAUUGCCCAAAUUUACAGGACUCUGCUGCUCCAGUGGACUUCUAGAAGGAUACUCACAGUCCGGAUUCGAAGGUACCAUCAUGAGAUGUACAGUCCAGGAUAAGAUACAGAGAGAGUGGCAAUCCAGCCUCCCAAGAGUAUAUAUGAGUGGAGCUUUGGAAAAGUUGACUGAGCGAGCUGACUCCACCACCAGCCAGCUUUGGCCACUCCAGUCUCUGCGUUCUUCUUUACCUCCUGCUUCUCAUCUGCAGGAGGACAGAGUCAAACCAGAUGAUGCCUAAAUUCCCUCCCAAUGCUAAAUAAAACUCCAUGGUCAAAAAUGCUCAAAGAUUCAUUUGGUAAGUUCUUAUCUUUUCUUUGGAAUGACUAAUUCACGCCUAUAAUAAAAAUCAUGAUAUAUUUCUUUUAAAAAGCAUGGUUUUUAGGUUGGAAUGAUCUAUAUAAAAAUGAUAACAAACACUUUAUGCCAGACCUUAGUAUUUU
rnacentral:lncRNA from 1 species